CCUACGGGAGGCAGCAGUGGGGAAUUUUGGACAAUGGGCGCAAGCCUGAUCCAGCAAUGCCGCGUGCAGGAUGAAGGCCUUCGGGUUGUAAACUGCUUUUGUACGGAACGAAACGGCUCUUUCUAAUAAAGAGAGCUAAUGACGGUACCGUAAGAAUAAGCACCGGCUAACUACGUGCCAGCAGCCGCGGUAAUACGUAGGGUGCGAGCGUUAAUCGGAAUUACUGGGCGUAAAGCGUGCGCAGGCGGUUAUAUAAGACAGAUGUGAAAUCCCCGGGCUCAACCUGGGACCUGCAUUUGUGACUGUAUAGCUAGAGUACGGUAGAGGGGGAUGGAAUUCCGCGUGUAGCAGUGAAAUGCGUAGAUAUGCGGAGGAACACCGAUGGCGAAGGCAAUCCCCUGGACCUGUACUGACGCUCAUGCACGAAAGCGUGGGGAGCAAACAGGAUUAGAUACCCUGGUAGUCCACGCCCUAAACGAUGUCAACUGGUUGUUGGGUCUUCACUGACUCAGUAACGAAGCUAACGCGNGAGUAGACGCCGNGGAGGUACGGCCGCGAGUAGAACGACAAAGAAGUAGAGCGNGAGAGNGCCGACGGACGACGACGAGGGAGGAGG
rnacentral:rRNA from 1 species